rnacentral:rRNA from 1 species
AUUGAACGCUGGCGGAAUGCUUUACACAUGCAAGUCGAACGGUAGAGGGGGCAACCCCUCGAGAGUGGCGAACGGGUGAGUAAUAUAUCGGAACGUGCCCAGUCGUGGGGGAUAACGUAGCUAAAGUUACGCUAAUACCGCAUACGAUCUAAGGACGAAAGCGGGGGAUCGCAAUAACUCGCGCGAAUGGAGCGGCCGAUAUCCGAUUAGGUAGUUGGUGGGGUAAAGGCUCACCAAGCCAACGAACUGUAGCUGGUCUGAGAGGACGACCAGCCACACUGGAACUGAGACACGGUCCAGACUCCUACGGGAGGCAGCAGUGGGGAAUUUUGGACAAUGGACGCAAGUCUGAUCCAGCCAUUCCGCGUGCAGGAUGAAGGCCCUCGGGUUGUAAACUGCUUUUGUACGGAACGAAAAGGUCUCUCUUAAUACGGGGGACUCAUGACGGUACCGUAAGAAUAAGCACCGGCUAACUACGUGCCAGCCGCCGCCGUAAGAC